rnacentral:rRNA from 1 species
AUUGAACGCUGGCGGUAUGCCUUACACAUGCAAGUCGAACGGUAGAGGGGCAACCCUUGAGAGUGGCGAACGGGUGAGUAAUACAUCGGAACGUGCCCAGUCGUGGGGGAUAACGUAGCGAAAGCUACGCUAAUACCGCAUACGACCUGAGGGUGAAAGCGGGGGACUCGCAAGGGCCUCGCGCGAUUGGAGCGGCCGAUGGCAGAUUAGGUAGUUGGUGAGGUAAAGGCUCACCAAGCCGACGAUCUGUAGCUGGUCUGAGAGGACGACCAGCCACACUGGGACUGAGACACGGCCCAGACUCCUACGGGAGGCAGCAGUGGGGAAUUUUGGACAAUGGGCGCAAGCCUGAUCCAGCCAUACCGCGUGCAGGAAGAAGGCCUUCGGGUUGUAAACUGCUUUUGUCAGGGAAGAAAUCUUCUGGGCUAAUACCCUGGGAGGAUGACGGUACCUGAAGAAUAAGCACCGGCUAACUACGUGCCAGCAGCCGCAGUAAAAC